rnacentral:lncRNA from 1 species
CUUUUCUGAUUUUUUCAAUUCACAGUUUACAGUGAAAACAGCAUCAUGGAACUUUCAAAGAUAAGUCACAAAAGGAGAUGCCACUUCCUCCUACCUCUCUCUUCAGAUAGUUGCUUUUGGAAUCUAGUCACUGUGGUAUGAAAAAGCUAAGAACGCACAUUGGGGAGGUCAAGCAUGGCCACAGCUGUCAUUCCAGCCAACAGCCAGCAGCACCCACCAGACAGCUGUUGAUGAUCAGUGAACUCUUUCUUUUGUGCAUGGAGGGUGCAGAGAAGUGAACUUGGUGCUGCAGGAAAACAUGAUUAAAAUGCAAAUUUGUUACCUGGGAAAAUCAUGAACCACCAGUCCUCAGUAACAGAAAGCAAGACUUUGAGUGAAUGAGACCAGACUGAGGAAGAGGAAAAAGCUGCAAGGGAAGGUGGGAGAGAAAGUUGAGGCUUGCUGGAAGGCCCAAGGGCUCUGCAGGCACCAAGAACAUCCAUACUGCUGAGGGCUUGUUAGAAGGCAGAAUCCCCAGCUCCACCCCAGAGCUGCUGUGUCGAGAUCUCCAUUUCAGCAAGAUCUUCAGGGAAUUCCAAGAUCUUCAGGGAAUCCUGCACAAGUAACAGCUGAGUAGUACUGCUCUAUGGCAGGACAUAGUAGCUCCAAAGAUUAAAUCCUGGUAAAAGUGUGGCUUGGAGCCCUGACAGCUGGGAGCUGUCUGAGCUGAAGAUGGUGCCAGUGUAAGUGCAGAGGACACCCAGAGUCUCUGCCUGGGAAUUUCUUUCACCUUUAACCAUCUACCACUCACCAUGCCACACAGGAGUCC